UAGGGAAUCUUCGGCAAUGGGGGCAACCCUGACCGAGCAACGCCGCGUGAGUGAAGAAGGUUUUCGGAUCGUAAAGCUCUGUUGUAAGAGAAGAACGUGUGUGAGAGUGGAAAGUUCACACAGUGACGGUAACUUACCAGAAAAGGACGGCUAACUACGUGCCAGCAGCCGCGGUAAUACGUAGGUCCCGAGCGUUGUCCGGAUUUAUUGGGCGUAAAGCGAGCGCAGGCGGUUUAAUAAGUCUGAAGUUAAAGGCAGUGGCUUAACCAUUGUUCGCUUUGGAAACUGUUAAACUUGAGUGCAGAAGGGGAGAGUGGAAUUCCAUGUGUAGCGGUGAAAUGCGUAGAUAUAUGGAGGAACACCGGUGGCGAAAGCGGCUCUCUGGUCUGUAACUGACGCUGAGGCUCGAAAGCGUGGGGAGCAAACAGG
rnacentral:rRNA from 1 species